rnacentral:lncRNA from 1 species
AUACAAAAACUAGUGUCCUUUCUGUUUAUGUGUGAUUGAUCUUUAGGAUGAUGAACUUGUGUUUUAUAUUUUCUUUAGACAUUUGCAUCAGCUAGAUUGAUAGGGUAAUAUGUUAUCCACAUUCCACAUUUGUUCAGCUUAUUUGCUUUCUCUGAUUUUAUCAACGAUGUGUUAAACUCCACAGGCGCCCAGGUGGUGAAAAGAUCUACAAUGUCUUUGACAGUCAACUUCCUGCAGCUUUGAAGAGGCUGCACUUCGACAAGCAUCUCUCGAUGGAGAAUGUAAGAAAACUUAUCACUGAGGCUGAUGGAUACCAACCUCACUUGAUAGCACCUGAGCAAGGAUACCGCCGUCUUAUUGAAUCUUCCCUGGUCUGUAUCAGAGGUCCUACUGAGGCAGCUGUUGAUGCGGUAAAAGCUUAAUCUUACAGCUCUUUUCCACUCUUAUGUAAUGUUGAAGUUCAAUUAUCUCUCUCCUUGUGCCAAGCCUCUUUGAUUUUUUGUAUUGGUGGAUGUUUUCCUGUUCUUCCUCUGAUCAUACUCUUUCGGCAGAGGUUAGAUCCUCAAUUUAUGUCAACAUAGAUAUUUGUAUGGAAGGCCUCGGCAUUCGAAGCACUGACUAAUUGCUUGUAUGUUUAAUGUACUUGUGGUAGUAAUUAUUAAAUGUGGUUUAGUAAAGAUCUGAUGCCUUCUAUGAGUUAUUCAAUUGUGUUCUCUAUUCCCAUAUAUCUCCCACUAAGAAAUUACUCUAAAACUCCACUUAUGCUUUCUUGAUGUUAAAAUGCUAAGGUAAAUUAUUGUCAUGUCUGAACUUUUUGUGGAAGUUUAUUGAAUGAUAAGUAGAAGUUGAGAAGAUGAAGUGUCAAUUUGGGAAACAAAUGUAAAAAAUUAUUAGUGAAAAAUCCAUAUGUGGGGGAAUAGAGGAACUGGAAAUGGUUUGACCAAAAGCAAAACCAUAUUUUCAAACAUGGAAGACAAUGAUCAUAUCAGGAAAGUGCACAAAAUGUUGGAAAAUGCAAACUCAAAUUGAAUAUGAGAUUACAUAACCUCACGAAAUACAAGUACAAACCAAACUUUCUAAUGAUCCCAUGGAAGCUAUCCUUCUUUGUUUCAUUAUUUUCUUUGAUGAAUAAAAUUGAUUCAGUCCCAUGAUCUAACUGUCCUAUGUGGUUUGUUUUUAAUUUCCUGUUAAAACUGUCAAUUAUUCUGAAGCGUUUGUUAUAUGAAACUGUAUUUAAUGAUUCUUCCUGCAUAUUGACAUUUGAAGUUGAUAUGUUGUUGAUUUCUUUAAUCAAUCACUAUUUUAAAUUUGUCACGGCAAUGAAUGGUAAAUUUCUUUGUUGCAUGCUUCCAGGUUCAUGCUAUAUUGAAGGAUCUCGUUCACAAGGCUAUCAAUGAGACUGUGGUAAGUUUCUCUCCAUGCUCAGCCAUCAGAAUAUUUGCUGCUUCGCUUUGUCAAUAAUUUGCUUUUGUAUGCUGCCAUGUUGUCUUUUUGUCCAAAGUUCCACUGUCAAAUAGUUUUUCUGAUUAUAUGGUCAUUACCACUAUUACUUACAUGAAGGAAUUUUCUCAAAAAAAUAAUUUAAAAUUUCUUUUCUUAUCCCAUUAGCUCUAUGGUGUAUAAAUGCUUAUUACUUGAAGACAAAUAGGCUGCAUGAGCUUAUAAUUGUCUAAUCAAGAAACUAGAUACCUACUUGCCAACUGGUCUUUCAGGUUUUAAAGCAAGCACCUCCUUUGUGAAGAUACCUUGAUCAGAAGUACUGAUUCAGAUGGUCACUAUCCCUCUGGAGCCUGUCAUAAAGCCUCUUGAAACUUUGAUGGAUCAGAAUUUGAUCCUUGGAGGUUGAAGGUUAUAAUGAGACGCAUGGGUUACUUAUGGGGGAGUACAAAUGAUACAGGAUUUGGGAUUAAUAGAUUAGCCACUCCUUUGUCUUAUUUUGAUGUUUGGUUCUUUCAUUGAGGAAGUGCUUUGCCAGUAUUUGCUAAUUUUAAACAAAAUAAAUUCUAAAUUUGUUGUGAUUAUAAUGCAAUAUAAGGAUAUUGUGGGGAGCUAGAUUGCAAAAUGCUGUUAGACUUGCCGUGUAAGAUGUAGGAAAUUGAUGGAUUCAGAGUUAGAUGCCUCUCAGGAACUGCUUUAUGCUCAGGGAUCUUGAUGGUAUCUGCAGCAUCUUUUCUUCAUUCAUCCGUCCCCUCCUAGAAGAAAGGAUAUUAAAUAAUAUCUUCUUCAUCAUCAAUGAGUUAUUUCUUCUCAACUUUGCCUGCUUAACUUGUUUUAAUAUUUUUAGAUGCAAAGAAAACUCUUUAGAUUACAUAUCUAAUAUGGAAUGCGCAUAUAUUAGUUCAUGAGUUUUAUGUUUAAAAGAAAGAUAUGUCUUGAUGAUACUUUUGCUUAAAGUAUUCUCAGAUAAUGGAAAGGGGAAUCAGGCAGUAGAAAUGUUAUGAAUGACUUAUUGGUGGAUGAUGAAUAAUUCGUUCCUUUUCAAAAAAAUAAAAAUUAUUAUAAAUUUUAUUAAUUGAAUUGUCUUUUGUUUAACUUGUUUACCUUCUUCAUUUUUCUUGCCUCGCAUAGCAUUUUAGGUUUAAAUUCAUAAGCAGUAAGAGGAUUUUGUUUUGCCUGUUCUGCAGGAGCUGAAGCAGUAUCCUACUCUCCGAGUUGAGGUUGGAAAUGCGGCUUUUGAAUCAUUGGACAGAAUGAGAGAUGAAAGCAAGAAAGCAACCCUUAAGCUAGUUGACAUGGAAUGCAGUUAUCUGACUGUAGAUUUCUUCCGAAAGCUUCCUCAAGAUAUUGAGAAGGGGGGAAAUCCAACACAUUCCAUUUUUGAUAGAUAUAAUGAUUCAUACCUCAGACGAAUAGGUAAAUUGAUUUAACUAAUGAUUUAUGUGGAUUUUUAGCUGUACUGGUUUGGAUUCCGGGUCAUAUCAAUUUUUAAAAACUUUAAGGAGGAGGACCUUUAUAUGCUCUAAUAUCCAAAUAUCCCAAAAUUGCAUCUGGAGUGAUUGUCUGGUCUUAUUUUGGCAAGUGCACUUAUGAUCUCUGAUAAAUUUGUGCGUAUCUUAUGCCCUGUCAAUGUGAUGGGUUUGACACGUUGGGUCUAAUUUAGAGCCCAUUUCUUCUCUCCCUGCUUUUUGUUAUGGCUUAGGAAAUCAGUUGUUUCAUCUGACCUGUAUGUGCAAGUGCUUAAUAAUUUAUGACAGUUGACUCAUCCUUUCAUGAACAGGAACUACUGUUUUGGCAUACGUAAAUAUGGUUUGCGCAAGCUUGCGAAACUCCAUCCCAAAAUCUAUUGUUUAUUGUCAAGUACGGGAGGCCAAACGCUCCUUGCUCGAUCAUUUCUUUACAGAGUUGGGAACGAAAGAGGUGAGAUUAGUCUUACUCAACUGUUAGUUUAGUUAUGCAUAAUCUCUUACUCAUGACUUCUACUUGUGAAGUUAAAAACACAAAUUCACAUCUUUUAUAGAAUUGAGAUGACAAUUCCUUUAGAAUUAGAUUGUAAUUUGAGACAUAUUUGCUGAACUAUUGAUUAAAUUAAUUGGAACUCUUACUGUGAAUGGUCUGCUUACAGUAAGCUAAUAUGUUUUUCAAGAAUUUCAUUAUUGAUCAGACUAGAUAUUUUAAGGGUUUUGCAUGAUAUUUUCUUUAUAGUUCAAUUGUAAUUUGAGACACCAUUUCUAACUGGGUGAUGCAAAUUAAUCUAGAUCAGUCGAUCCUUCCAUUCAUGUUUCAUAUUGCAUGGUAGGCUUGACUUCUGUACUACAAUUGAUGCAUAUAUUCCUUAAUCAAGGAACUUUUUUCCUUCCAAGCUUUCUAUCUUUUCUGAGGACACAUUGCCCAUGUUUUAUGUUGAUUCAAUCAUACAGCUAAUUUAACUCUGCAGUGAACUCAUAAUGUUUCAGUUCAUUUCCACAUGUGAUCCGUUGCUUGAUGAUAUUAUGGCUGAUUACUAUUGGAGAUAUUAAGAAUGAUGCAUGUAGUGAAAGGUCAGUUUGUUCACUGGUAGAGGAACCCCUCCUGUUUGGUGUGUUGGAUCAAAUCACAUGGUUGUGAAUGUGUCUGAGUUAAAAUGGUAUUCUAUGCUAAUUGCUUCGAUGUGCCAUCAAUCAUGAUUGUAUGGAUUAUAUUCCAUUAAAAUAUACUCUUUUUUUGGUAGGAAAUCAAGAUAUACUUUUUUCAGUUUAAAUGCUUUUCUUUCUUUUAGUUAUUAAUUAGAGUGGUUACGUAAUUUCAUUAGAAGCGAGGUUUUAUAGAAAGGAAGCAUGAGCUCACAUGCAAAUGUUUGGUCACACUUGUUGCUUAUGUAUGCAUAGUAGAGAUUAUGAGGUGUAAAACACUCGUAGAAAUUUUUCAUUGCAUGCUAUUACAAUUGCAUGCUCUUACAGUAGAUGAGAAGGUGGGACCUGCACAUGAACACAUUGAGAGGGUAGUAUUAUUCAUAGGACAUGUGCCAGCCAAAGCAUCUUGCACCAGGAUGUUUCCAGGAAGGCACUAGUUUCAUAUUGUUUUGCUUUGUUUUAAAACUAAUUUUGCUAUAAAUUAGAAAGCUGCUUGUCUGCUUUGUUGUUGGAUUUAAUGAAGUCUUCGGUAGUAUGUUGUAAUGCUCGGUGCUAUCAAAUCGUAGUUUCUCUUAUUAUGACUAAAUUGGAUAUUCUGCUUUAUGGGAAAACCAAGCUAGUUGUCAGAAGCUACUUUAUGAACCCAUGGUAGAUGGUAGCAGCGCUGCACCCCCACGUUGUGUCCAUGUUGAUUUGAUUGCUUAGUUCCAACUACUGGCCCAUGUUAGUACUUGUUCCUUCUUCUCUGCAUUUUUUUACUUACAGGCGGCCAAAGAAAAUAUAUCCUGCCUUCUUGUUCUUGAUCUGUUAACAUUGUGGAAAUCUAUAAAUAAAUUUUAUAAUAAUUUCCAAUUACCAUCAUUAACUAACCAAGUGUGACCAUUGUGCUGUGCAUGGUGUGAUAUCUUUUACCAAAUAUACUUCUGAUGAUUCAAAAUUUUAAAAAUGUGCAGAAUAAGCAGUUGUCAUCNNNNNNNNNNNNNNNNNNNNNNNNNNNNNNNNNNNNNNNNNNNNNNNNNNNNNNNNNNNNNNNNNNNNNNNNNNNNNNNNNNNNNNNNNNNNNNNNNNNNNNNNNNNNNNNNNNNNNNNNNNNNNNNNNNNNNNNNNNNNNNNNNNNNNNNNNNNNNNNNNNNNNNNNNNNNNNNNNNNNNNNNNNNNNNNNNNNNNNNNNNNNNNNNNNNNNNNNNNNNNNNNNNNNNNNNNNNNNNNNNNNNNNNNNNNNNNNNNNNNNNNNNNNNNNNNNNNNNNNNNNNNNNNNNNNNNNNNNNNNNNNNNNNNNCCUUUUGUUUUUCAUUAACAGCUAGGGUAUUUCAGGUGUUUAGGUUGCUAAAACGCUGUACCUUUUCACCAGCAAUAUCAGGCACGGUCGAAAAGGAAAUUCGACCAUUCAGGGCUGGGCAUCAACAUUUCCUGAUUCACACACGUGGCAUCUGAAAUGUUCCUGUCAUUCUGAAGCUCCAGAUGUAUGAUGUUAAAAUUGCAUGCAGUGCAAGGUUUUGAAAGAAGCUGAUAUUAUGCUAUGGGCCUUAGAAAAUUGUCAUUCCAUAUCUCGCUGGAACGUUCGAGUUUCUUCUUGACCCCAUCAUGUUUAUAAGCUAUUUCACCACGGGAACUGCGUUUAACUUUGGGCGUAGCUCAUGUUUUUGAUGUCCAUUUCGGGCUUUUGUGCAUUCUCCUUGGGUUGAUGAUGAGAGACGAUUGCGAUCUUCUGAUGGAAGGAAUGGGGAAAAAAUGGCUUUUAUAGCCUAUUUCGCUGUUCUAGCCCUUCUUAGAUCCUUCGUAAAUAUUUUUUCAAGUGCAGCAAUUUUAAUUGAUGCCGAAAAUCAUAAUUUUGGUUGGAUCUCGUUGCAAGAAUGUAGCGGAACUUGUUCUUUUCUACUGUUCUACAAGAAGAAUCAAUAGAUAUCUUCUAUCCGUCCCAACUCCGAAAGCACACUUCGGGGAGGCACGUGUGCAUGUUGUAGUCGGUGGGUUCAAUCUGCUGUCAGAACGAGAGAGUCGGGAACGCGACAAGACGACAGCCUGUUGGGCGCUGGCACCUCACCUCAGUUGUCGUAAUUUGGACUCGGUCCGCUGAUUGGUGGUGACAGCGGGUGAUUAUUCAACUGGAGCAGUAGAAAGGGAGAGGAGUUGGGUAGAAUCUGAACUCAUUUAGAAGCCAUUAACUGAUUUAAUUCUCGAGCUGGUUUCUCCAUCGAUCUCUCUGAUAAUAUUCACAUGUCAAGAGGUGCCUUCCAUGCUUUUACGCUUAUUAUUUGAUCUAGUCCUAAACUUCUUGAUUGAUGAGCAGAGGUAACCAGAUAGACCUCUCAAUGUUCAGCAUUCUUUAAAUGCACAUAGAUUGGAAUGCUGAUAUGCAGGCCCCAUUGAUUCCUCAUGAAGUUGACAGCUCACCAAAUCGUAGAAAAAUGCUUAAAAUACCGUUGCAAUGUCAUCUAGGCGGAUUCCUUGCGUCAUAAUUGCGAGCUACCCAUCGUUGCUGCCAUGGUGCAUGCUCACGAAGAGUAUAGUGUGAGAGCUCUUCAUUUCCCAGACGAGCAAGGCAAAGCUAUCAUUGCAAUGUCUAAGAUUUGGCUACGACAGCCUAAAAUUUCUAAUUUUACUGAUGCCCAAAUGUGGGGUCAAUAAUGUGGCUAAGACAAAGCUUGGCUUGUAAAUGCAUUUUGCAUGGAUGCAUGCGAUGCAUGCAAAUGUUGAGUUAUUUAUUUGCCAUAUUUUCUUUCAAAUCUUCUUUCUAUUAAACUCAUCCAAAUUUCAUAAAAAUAAAAGUUUGCUUCUAAACCUGCAUUUUGCUCAUGCUUACAUGCCAGACUUUAUAUAUAAAGCAUACAUCCAUCUUAUAAGAGAAGCAACUCAACGUAGCCCGAGUAGUUUAAUCCUAAACGACCUACUAAAUAUUAAUUCAAAAUAGAAAUUAGAGAGNNNNNNNNNNNNNNNNNNNNUAUAUAUAUAUAUAUAUAUAUAUAUAUAUAUAUAUAUAUUAUUAGAGAGAGAAAAAAAAUGACCGGAAGACUCACCAAUAUUUUGAUUAUCUACAUUCAAAUAUCUGAAGAAAAAAAAUCUAAUUAUUUUUAUGAAAAAUAUCUUAAAAUAAAUCCUAAUUUAUAAAAUAUUUCUCCUUUUAAAUUGAGUAAUAGUUGAUGGACCAUUUUAUGAGACGAGGCCGUAAAAGGUGGUUCGUUGCGUGCGUUAAUAUAGUAUUAAUUAAGUUCUAUGACAGAGUCGUGAUGCGGUCAUCCUCGUGUCGGUCCUCACCUCGGAGCUAUUCUCCCAAACCUCUCCGCUCCCGUCCCCUACCUCCAUCCCAAGCAAUCCAACCGUCUCAUUCCCAGGUAAAAAAUGAGAGAAGCCGAACCCUAAUUCUCCUUCUCAUGUCUAUAAUCUAUUAUAGAUCCAAAUCCCUCUUCCCUUCCAUGAAGAGUUUUGAAAGGUUAUCCACGUCCUUUUCUGGAAAGCCACAUGUGCAUUUUAAUAUUGGUAAUCUGACCUCACCUCUUUUUGUUGUUUAAAAUAUCGUUUUUUAACCCGGAAAUGCACGGUUUUGUGUUAAUUUAUAGUUAGAUUCGCUGUCCUGAUGGCAUUUCCACGGGGCAUCGAGAAAUUUGGUGGUUUGGUGUUUAAAUCCUUUCCAGUUACUCGUGGAAUUGCAGAUCUCUGAGGUAGUGGAGGUUAGAUCUGGCAGCAGUUUCUGGUAUGGUUUGGGAUUAUAUUCUUGGGAUACAUUGUGUUACAAUUGUUUCGUUUCUUUUCUUGAUUGUUUAUCAUCGAUCUGCUAAGGAUUUAGGGGUUUGCAUGUUGAAUAAAACAAGUUUGGCUAAAAUCUCGCGGAAAGAUGUGAUUUUUGUGCAUUAUGAUUGUUCUGUUUCACUGUUUCGACCUUCAUUUUUGAAGCAACUUGAUUUGAGGGAGAGAGAACCCUUUUUUUCGUACUUUCUGGUUCGACAGGAGUAACUUUUAUGGGUUUUGCCUUUGAAAAUAGGAAUUUUUUAUGAACCUAUCUCCGAGUAUGAUGACGCACAUCAGCGGAUCUAAAAGUUUGGCCACCAUUUCAUACUUAUUAUUUGCAAACACAUUUCAAUCCAAUGGGAGGGGGAAAUCCAUUUCUGACAUUAUGAUUCUUCAAGUCUAUUGAGGGCAUGUUUCGAUAUUCCUGUUGGAAUCCCACUGGAUUCAUGAGAUGAGUUUACUAAAUUGGGGGGGAGAGAGAGGGCGGAGGGAAGGGCGAGGGAUCAGCUGAGGGAGAGACGUAUUUUUUUUUAUCUCCAUGGAAAUGGGCUGACGGGGGUCCAGUUGUUCUGGACUGAGCUGGGCCCAAUAUAGUAUAGCGGGAAAUCCCAUUCUCAUUCCCACAAUUCCAACAAGAUUAUCUAAACAGUCCCUUAGCAUGUCUCCUUCCUGAUGUGUGUGUGUGUAUAGGAAAUGGUUUGCCUAUAUUUCUUUUAAAUUGGAUAAUUGAAAAAUGAUAAGCCUAUAUUAUAACCCUGAUUUGAAGGGAGGGUUAGCCCAUAGAAUGUGCAAACCCGGAACAAGAAGAAAAGGAUGAAGCUGUAGAAUCCUAAGGAAUAAGGUGUGAUGGGGUUUAGAUGGAUUGAGAAAACAUCAAGUAUUAAUUCAUUGAAGGUGCAUUGCUGAAACUUGAGAUUGUAUUAAUGGAGUAGGAGAGAAGUUUUUAAAAAUAUUGAAGUAAGCAAUGUGCACAUGAAAAGCUAAUUCAAGGAAUGUCAGAGUUGAAGAAGAGGUGAUGCUUCAAGAAAUGGGGUAAAAGAUUUCGAAAGAUCUGAAGUACUGAUUAGGUUAACUAUAUAAUUUGUGCUAUGCUAAAUGAUAAACUAAACCACAAAGGGUGAGAUAAAAAUCUUGAAUAAGAUUAUCGGAAGGAAAAAACAAGAUAUAUAGAUCAAAUGGGUAGAAUAAGAAUGAGAACAAUGUCAUUUUGUUGAAAUAUUGGUAAGGUAGAGAAAUCCUGUAAAAAGAGAAACCAUAAGAACUUUCUUAGAAAAAGAAUUCAAUUGGAGGAAUAUACUUUAACUAUUGCGAUUCUGGAGAUGCUUUAGUAUUAUCGUUUGAUUUUUUAUGGCCUUUUUGUUGGUCUGUGCAUAACUUUAUCAAUAUGAUAUUCUGGUUGAUUAUUAAGUCAAGUCAUGACACAGCCAAGUUAUCCAUAUCACCAUGUUGCACACGUAAGACCCAAAACAGGGAUAGUUCAGUCCAUGAUUUGAAUUAAUGAUUUGCUAGCUUGAUUUUUUAAUGAUGAAGUGAUUGUCGAUGGGAAGUUGUCAUAGUUUAUCAUGUUUAGGAAUCAAACCCAUGGUCAUUAAGAUUUAAUUUUUCUCUUUCAAUGUAAAAAAUUAGACUUGUAUGUAUUAAAAAUGGAAUUAAAAUUAUGCAUUUGAAGAUCUUUGAGAAAAUCAAUGAUAUUAACUUUUAAAAUCUUGGUUUGUCUACUGUCUUUCUAUUCUUGAAAUAAAUUAUAUUGAAUGCUUCUUUCAUUUUUCUUUUGUGCUUCAGCAUUGCCUUUUUUUUGGAAUUAUCAAGGGAAAAGCCUAAUAGAAAUUCAGCACAAUGGUCUCAGAAAGGGAUUUGUUUAAGGUUUCAGGGCCUCUACAUCUAACCUCUGUGAACUGGUAAGGCUAUAUUCUGUAAGUUAAGGUCUUUUCCUACUUUUAGCAUUAUCCAAGCAUCUUAAAAUUUUUUAUUGGGAACGUACCAAAAAAAAUAUUGGGAAAAUGAAAGAAGCAUACAGAGCUUAAGAAACAAUAAAGAGGUUUGUUAACUGAUAGAAAUUCUAAAUAUAUAUUGCACUAGCUAUAAAAAUAUUAAUAGAUUUUACUUUUAGCAUGAGUUAGCAACUAUCUAUAUCCUUGCAUGUUUAAUGGGCAUACUGUUACAGAAUAAUGUAAGCCUGCGAUAUUUUGUCUUUGUCUUCAAAAAUUGUUCCAAAGAUCUGAUAGUAUUGUCACCGGUGACUGAUUGUGCUGUUAUAUUUUCUGAGUGAUUUCCAUAUGUGCUUUCUGCUGCAUAUGAUAUUUAACCAGAUUACAAAUUCUGACUGGUUUUGGUAUGGUCAGCUUGUGUGGCAUUGCAGCAGCAUAGUUUGAUGAUUGUAUUCUAAGUAACAUGCCUUCUCCAAUCAAAAUAUGUAUUCAUCCUUACGGAUGUAGUUUUGAUAUACUGUAGCUUGAAAAUGCUCUAGAACCAGCUCUCAAUACACUGUAAACCCUCUCUGAAUUAGUGCUGGAUUUCUGGUCAAGGAAUAUUUGGAUAAGAGAGGGAACUACCAUGUGACCGUGAAAUCCUGUUGGCAGGGAUGGGGCCUAAAAGGCCACUAGGCUAAUCCAUAAUAGGGUUAUCUUGAAACUUCUCCGGAUCCUUUCUGAAAAGAGAACUUCUCAGGGAUCCAGCAAAUCCUAUUUGAAACUUGUCACGCCCCCGCCUCCGCCUCCGCCUCCGCGGGGCACGUGCGGCACCUAGUGCCCACGUGAGGGGAGAACACGGGGCUCCCCUGCCAGAUAUUGUCCGGUUCCGGGGUCCGCACGUGCGUCGCACGCACUGCUCAGACCCCUCCCUGGUUUUGUUUUCCACCCAAAACACGUCUGCAGGAUUUGGAGACACCCGUCUCAUAUGCCUAGUUUCUGAAACGAGUCUUUCCGAUGUGGGACUAUUGGGCCCUACACCCUUNNNNNNNNNNNNNNNNNNNNCUGGUGACUGAUUAUGCUGUUAUAUUUUUUGACUGAUUUCCAUAUGUACUUUCUGCUGCAUAUUAUAUUUAACCAGAUUACAAGUUCUGACUGGUUUUGGUAUGGUCAGCUUGUGUGGCAUUGCAGCAGCAUAGUUUGAUGAUUGUAUUCUAAGUAACAUGCCUUCUCCAAUCUAAAUAUGUAUUCUUCCUUACGGAUGUAGUUUUGAUAUACUGUAGCUUGUAAAUGCUCAUAGAACCAGCUCUCAAUACACUGUAAACCCUCUCUGAAUUAGUGCUGAAUUUCUGGUCAAGGAAUCUUUGGAUAAGAGAGGGAACUACCAUGUGACCGGGAAAUCCUGUUGGCAGGGAUGGGGCCUAAAAGGCCACUAGGCUAAUCCAUAAUAGGGUUAUCUUGAAACUUCUCAGGGAUCCUUCCUGAAAAGAGAACUUCUCAGGGAUCCAGCAAAUCCUAUUUGAAACUAAUAAGAUUUUCCCUUGAUUUGAUUUACUCGGCUUGCAAAUAAUUUGUGGUUGAGGUAUGUUGUUAUUAAAUUAUGCCUGUUUCUUCUCCAGUGAGAUGCCUCAUGCCUUCUUGCCAUCUGGAUUUCACUUUAGCUUCAAAACACCAUGGCUUAGAUUUGGGUGGAUUGAAAUUUAUUAUUUAUGUCAUUUUGCAUACAACAGGAACUGCCCGCAUCACCAGAGAUCUAUUGCUGCUACUCUGGUUCAGGGUGCAUAUGUCCUAGAGCGUGACCGUCAGCAAAACCGCCAUGGUCCGGAAGCCUGUGCACCAGCCUGGUGGGAGAAUUUUCAUUUCGAACUUAUCCGUAAACUUGUUGAUGUUGAUGAUUUUUCCAUCUUUGGUGCCAUCUAUGAAUUCAAAUCCCCUUCCUCCAUCCAAAACUCAUCAAACGGCAAUGCCCCAAAAUUGGUCAUUGCUUUCCGAGGUACCAUCACCAAGCAAGAAUCUCUUUCUCAGGAUCUUAAACUGGAUUUCCUCUUCUUAAAGAAUGGCCUUGAUCGGACUCCCCGCUUUGAAAUUGCGAUGCAAGCUGUUCGGAACCUGGUUUCAGCUGGCGGUCAGAAUGUAUGGUUAGCUGGUCAUUCUUUGGGGUCAGCAAUUGCAACACUUGCUGGAAAAAAUAUGGCUAAGACAGGUAUCAAUCUUAGAACCUUUCUCUUUAAUCCACCAUUCGUCUCUGCCCCACUUGAGAGGAUCAAAGAUAAGAAGGUGAAGCAGGGAAUCAGGAUUGCCAGCAGCUUUAUCACAGCUGGACUUGCAGUGGCUGUAAGAGGUCAUAAUAGUAGGUCUGAAGGUUCCUUUGCCAUGCUAGCAUCAUGGGUUCCAAAUCUUUUUGUUAACCCAGCGGAUCAUAUCUGCUCAGAAUAUAUUGGAUACUUUGAACACCGGAAAAAGAUGGAGGAGAUUGGAGCAGGACAUAUAGAGAAGCUGGCAACACAAAACUCUGUUAAAGAUCUUUUCUUGAGUGCACUUGGAAAGGAGUCUGAGCCAUUGCACCUUCUUCCAUCAGCAAGAUUGACAGUAAAUUUGAGCCCUUCAUCAGACUUCAAGCAGGCGCAUGGUAUCCAUCAGUGGUGGAGACCAGAUCUAAAUUUGCAAUGCAAGGAAUACAUUUACAGCUGAAAUGAAGGACAACAAUUUUUACAGUUUAUAUGAAACACAGUAAUUUCUUGUUCUUUAGUGUAGGCAGUAGUAUGGCAACAUUAAAUGCGUGCAACUUCAUAGGUUAUCAAUAUAUUGUGAAGUUUCUGUUGUCAGAUGAGCUGUAUGUUUCAUCACUUUCAAAGCACACCAAUUAGUGGAGUUUGAUUAGAUGAUCAGGGCACAUACUUCGUGGCCCUUCUGAUGGCUUCUGCUGAUGAAGGGGGGAAAUUUCUAUGCAUUCAAGCAUGAGACCUUUUCGAGCAGUGGGGGGUCUGCAAUUAUGCGCAUCCGUAAACUCAGAACUUUACACAUGGAAGCGGAAAUCUAAUAUAUAUACAUAUAUAUUCUCGCUUUUAUCAUGACCUUGUUUAUAAUUUUUUUGUUAAUCUAACUUUUCAUGUUUUGCAAAUAAACUAGUUCCUUUAUUUCUCACCUUAUCUCUAUUACAAUGAGGUUUUGGGAAGUUGUUCCUUGAUUUUCUAGUGUUGUCUUGCUGUUCAGAUCAAUUCAAUCUGCAUUACUUUCUUUUGGAGUAGGUCAGCAAUUUUAUGGAAAUUACUUAAUUGUUCAAAUUACUCAAGAUAUUGUUCAUAUUACUAAUUUUUUCUUCAUUUAUUCUGUUUUAUUUUGCUGAAGUUCGCAAAUUAUUGUUUUUGAAAGUACCUGUGAAUUAUCAAAAGGAUGAUGUUAUCUGGAGCUUCUCCGUUCGCACACUUUUCUUUCUGCUCAUUUAUUUAGCACAACUUGCGAUUCAAAAUGAAAAAAAAAAAAAAAGAAAGCUAUAGUAGCUUCAUCUAUCUAAAUUCGUAUCAUUGGUAUAAAAAUCCACCAGCGAGGUCGCCGAAAGUAUACCCCAUCUUACGGAUCCUAAAACACGUAAAUAAAUUAAAAACCAUGUAACUCUUAGGAACUAGGACUAGAUGAAGAGAAAAAAAUAAAACCAAAAAAAAGAUGAGUGAGAAGGAGGGCAUCGGUGGUCACCAUCCUUUUCUCUCUUCACCACCACCACUACUCUGCCUUCGAUCUUUUAUCUCUUCGCUACCCUAUGUCCUGAUUACUCCACCAGCUCCCCUUCUAUCACCACCACCAUUGUCUCCACAAUCCAAAUCUAAGUACAAUUUAGUAUCCUUUCCUUCUAAUUCACCACCUCAUCCUCUUGGAGCAGUGAUCAAGGCAAGAUCUGGUUUAGAUUGUUCAAUACAAUUUGACCCGUCUCAGAUCUCUCCCACCAAAGAAGAUAUCAAGACAUCUCCCUCCUCUUUGCAUUGACGUGCAAGGCAAUGGUUGCAUUGAUGCUUAGGUUCGUCAAAUGAAGGAGAACUUAGCCUAGGCAUCCCGAUCACCAACAGAUAAGGCUGCUUCAUUGUAAUAUGGAUGCCAUGGGUUUCAAUUUUACCAACGGAUUUUUGUCCCAUAAUGUUGGUCUUUUUGGAAGGGCGGACCUUAACGUAACUGUAAAGUUGAUUUAUUGUAACAUAGAUAUCAUGAGUUUAUAACAUUGAAAUAGCCUCUCUACAUAUGGGAUAAAAUUACGAACAGUUGACUCUUCUCAAACCCACAGUAGUAGUCUCAUGCACCGAGAUGCCUCUUUUUAUUUUUAGUUUUUCUGAAUUUUUCUACACUUUUCUCUCAUCGGAGAUAUAAUUAAAAAUACUUUAUUUUAUAAUUAUUAAAUAUUAUUAUCAGUUAUGUAUACAAGAAUGUAUUUCAACUAUAACAAUGAGAUGAAAUCAUAUAACAAUAUAUAUUAACUCAAUGUGUAUGUGUGAAAGCAUUGAGAGAUGUUAGCUUCCAAGUAGGUCUCUUAAAUGAGCUGUUUGUGUGGUUGAAGUUAAAUGAAUUGGCAUUAGUUUAGCUCGCUUAACAAACAAGCCAAGCUUGAGCUUGGCUUGUUUACACCCCCCUACUCGUCAGUUAGGUGCUCCAGUAUGUUAUCUUGGUAUAUCAUACUGGAACAUGCAUACAAGAGCCUCUAGACAAGGAUAUUGAAUUAUGUGGCUUGAAGAAAAUUGUUGGCAUACAUGAAGCAUAUUGAACACCGAAACCUAGGUUAUCCCAGAAUUUAUCCAUGAAUAAACUUGCAUACAGGUGUCUCAAUCUAUAACGUACAAAAGUUGGGCCUUAGGCUUUCUCAACCAGCUCAGAAAUAAGUGUUCAGUUGCUGUGCUUGAACCGCAUUAAUUUGAUCCGGAGUGUUGGUAACCUCUUGAGUUGGCUGCUGGGUUCUUAGGGUCUUCUUCAGCUUGUUUUCACUCAAACAAGCACCUAGAGCGUCGGUUUGAUAAAUUCUUCAUGGCCAUGGUGAAUGAAGCUGGAUUCAAACAGAGCUCGUAUGAUCAUUCUUGGUUUGUUCGCCGUGCAAUAAGGUCACCCAUAACACGGCUCUCCCACUGGAGUGACCUUAGCCCUGGGCCAUGCUAUUGGCAUACAGACCUACAGGAUGAUUGUCAUACCAUCCACUAAGGACAAAAUAUUAAUAGAACUAGAUAGUGCAAAUACGUGCAAGAUCUAUAAUGCUUAUUAUUAGAUGAGUUCGACUUGCAGACCUUAUCUUAAAAAAAACUACCCAAAAGGUAUUAUUUGGGUUUCUUGAUCCUGUGUAGAAUUUCAAGAUCUACUCGGUGAAUAAGCAAUGUGGGACUAAAUACACGCUCGCACGGAUUCUCAAAGCGGAACUAACCCAUAACCUAUAUAGACUAGGGGAUAUUGCAGUACAGGUAUAUUUGAGUUUACCAUGAGCUGAUUAUGGUGUUUGUGAUCCGAUUUAAAUGAAUUUAGAUCCUUAGUAUGGCGAGGAUGCUAGGGCUUAAACGAGAGGAGUAUGUGACGAUCCGUACAUGUAUGAGUUUAGUCUCAUAUCGAUUACUCACCGGAUAGAUCUUGAGUACUUAUAUAGGAUCAAGAAACUUAAAUAAUAUUUUUUAAAUAGCUUUUUUAGAUGGGAUUGUGGGUUCUGACCUGAGAAUUGUUGGUGACUACAAGAAGCCAAGCUUGCAGUCUUCCAAGGGUGAUAACAAAAGGAAGCCAAACAGGCCGAUUCCUUAGUGUGAAAAGAAGCCAAUGAUUACAUACAUGAAGCGUUGAAAUCCCCUCUGAACUUGCUCUGGACAAGCUUAGUCCCCUGGACCCGAAAUCAGUCAGAGGUUAAAAAGCUCUAUUUUGGCACAAUGGUCCCUUGAAGAGAGCAGCAUUCUGCUGCUUCUCUGACAUGGAGGAAAAAAAAAGGUGAUCAGCUGAGACCCAUUUCGAUUUCCGUGUCUUCCUUGAUUAGCAGCAUCUGAGGCAAAUUCCAAUGCAAUCUGAGUGAAACCAGGGACUGAGGACUGAUAUAACAGACAACAGCUUCAAGAGAUUCAUUGAUCCGCAGCAACUGAAGAAGGAUAAAAAUGAUCACUUGACUGCAGCAUGAAGCUUCAGUUGCAAUCCUUGCAACUGAAAUUUUAAUUGCUUGACAGCCGACAUGGGAUGUUCUUUAUUUUUAACCAGAUUUGCCCAAAGUGUGGGAGAAGCUUUUGCUCACAAAGAGAUGACCAAUCGUUGAAAAGUUGCAGGCCUAUCGAGGCAACAGUUGCAAGCAUAUUUUCUUCAAAAAUAUGCUUGCAUUUCUCUCUUGCCAACAAACCCAUGCCAUAGCUGCAAGUAACGUGGGCACCAGAGGCUGAAUAGAUUUUGGAAAGUUUCUGCCUCUCCAAUAGAGGCAUGGGAAUUCAAAACUAGAUUGAGGAUGGAGCACACCAAGGGAGGUGCACAUAGCUUUCCAUAUGGAAGAGAAGAAGCAGGGAUUUGAGAAAAAGGUGAUCUAUGAGCAGCCACCAAUAUUUUCUAGAACACUUAAUCUUCAAUGGCAUGCUGAGUUUCCAUAAAGAGCUUGCGAAACUGCAUUUAAUUCCUUUAGUACUUCAAAACUGGUAGAGAGAUGCUGUUGAGAAGGAUCCAUUACUGUUUAACUUCCACACCAGCCGGUCCUCUUCAUGGUUUAAAGUGACCAGAUCUAAAAGAGAUGAUAAUCGAUUGAGAUACAAUUGAGUCUCCGUAGAGUGAUGAACUGGCAAUCCAAUUUUCCAUGUUCUAGUCCUUUCAUUGAAGAAAUCCGCAACUGCUCCAUUUUUCCUUCGACUAAUCUUGUAUAACUAAGGGAAAAUGGCCUGAAGUGGAACAUCCCAAAUCCAAUUAUCCUUCCAGAAAAGAGUUCUUUUGAGUGAGUUCGAAUUAUGCAAGACCAAACUCAUAUUUCACGGACUACACAAUUGAAAAGUACACAGUGCAUGAAGUUGAAAUAGACAUUGAUAAUUCUUAUGAUACUGUAGGUACUAGCAUAUAAUCUAAAAGUAUUUAUUUGCAGCUCAAGUAACUGAAUUGUCAUGUUUGAUCUGCGAUAAACCAUAUGGCCGCUCGAAACGUCUUGCAUAUCACUGCAGCAUAAGGGUUGAGAUUGGUUAUCGUCAUCAUCUUUUGGAGAAGCAGCAUCGAUCGUCCCACCCCAGUGCACAAGCAUCACUUUCAAGGUGUGGAUAGAGCAAGGGGACAUCAUCAAUUUUGGAGUGAACAAAUAUGAUGGCAGUGCACAUCUUUAUUAGAUUGACAUGUCUUCGUCAUUGACUUCAGAUUUCAUCACAAAGCUGGGAAAUGCCAUGGUUAUGUCCCUGUGAACCGACCGUAUACAAACCAGUGAAGAUGAGAUGGAAUUCACUUUCAAUUUUAGCAAUAAUAAGCAAUCCAGAAUGCACUUAUAAUGAUAAUAAACUUGUAUAACAGGACCACAGAUCUCCACCUGCACAACUAACUCAUUCUCUCUUUUCUUAUAUUAACAAAUUCAUUCUCUACCUUAAGAAGGAGUGAAUUAAGCAAAUGCGUGGAUCAGAAAAUGAGACUACCAUGCAGGACUGCAUGUGGAUGCAAAAGGUCUAUAUAUGCUGAAAAUUUUUAUUACAAUAGAGCGAAAAAAAGUAACCCAACAUCCAGGGUAUGCAUUAAUAGAAGAUGAAAAAGGUCUAUAUAUCCUAAUAAGAUUUUCACAGUAUAUCAGCCAGAACAGAAUAUUUGGGGAAUUAAUGAAAGGUGCAGGCAAAAAAAAUUGUAAAAGCAACAGAAAAAUGUUAGAACAACAAAAACUGAAGGUUUAAGUCCAGGAAAGUGGCAUUGGAGGGUUGUAAAAAGAACUGUGAUUGAUGCAGAUGAGUAGCAUGACCUCAGAAACAAGGGCAGGUGAAGCAGAAAAUGCAAAUUUGAGAAAAGAAAUAGUGGAAUCAUAACUUUUGACAUCUCAAAAGACAGCUGUGGUAGCAUGUCUCAGUUCUGCUGGCCAAAGCCAGUAUAUUACUAAUACGAUUUAUGCUGCAAAAGUGAGGCAAACUACAGUCUGCUUGUCCAUCAAACUUGCAACAAAGAAGCUCAGCGAGGAUAAUAGAAGCUUUCAUAACAUAUAAGAAAGAAAAUAAAGCCACCAUGCAAAUUGGAAUGAAAAUAGGUCAAUAGGUAGUAAACUUGUAGAUUUCACUAGGUAUGAUCCACAAUACAAAAAAAAAGUUAUAAAACUUAAAAUGAAACGAGAGCUAGGAGAGGUCAAGAUAUUUUUAAAUAGAUCAUUCUGGACCUCAUGGUUUUCUGAAGCAGAUAGUCUUUGCCACAGUAAAUCAAGUUAUUGUUAUAAUGGUUCCUUCUAAUCGUCAAACAUUACAUGUAAAAUUUCUGUGGGAACUUAGGUUAAUUCUCUAGUUUGGCUCAACAAGAUAAUUUUGUUGAUGAUGUAGCCAGAUUCCCAUUACAUCCAACAGUUACAGAUAGGCAGUGGAUGAAUGAAGUUUUCAAGCGAAUUUGUAAAACUAUCAUGACAUACCCCUGUAAUCUUGGAAAUAUAAUGCUCAGGCAAGGCAAAAGCAUGCAAGAAUUAUAACAGAGAAAAUAAUCCAACAUAUAAAAUUUAAGCCACGAUCUGUCACACAUAAAACCAUAGGAUACCAGUGUAUCUUGCGUAUGAUAAGGAUUAAAGAUCUAGAACGUGUUGCAAUAAAAAUAUUAGAUUUGCACAGAUAUUACAAGAUAUUAAAGGUUUUACAUUAUCUGAAAAAUUAAAUUAAAAACUAAUUCAUGUGACGGAAGUCAAGCAUCAGUAGCUGCAAAGAUAAAUGUCAUACCUAUACAUAUUCAAGAAUACCAACAAUUCUAGGGAAUUAAUAUUGAAAUGUAGAUCCAUAGACUGCUCUCCAUGACCAUUUUCAGUUCUUAUAGCCACAUAGCACUAAUAAUUAUCAUAUAUCGCAUAUCAGGAGACAAAAAGCU